GCUUGCUAAGGCCGAUGGCGACCGGCGCACGGGUGAGUAACACGUAUCCAACCUGCCGUCUACUCUUGGACAGCCUUCUGAAAGGAAGAUUAAUACAAGAUGGCAUCAUGAGUCCGCAUGUUCACAUGAUUAAAGGUAUUCCGGUAGACGAUGGGGAUGCGUUCCAUUAGAUAGUAGGCGGGGUAACGGCCCACCUAGUCUUCGAUGGAUAGGGGUUCUGAGAGGAAGGUCCCCCACAUUGGAACUGAGACACGGUCCAAACUCCUACGGGAGGCAGCAGUGAGGAAUAUUGGUCAAUGGGCGAGAGCCUGAACCAGCCAAGUAGCGUGAAGGAUGACUGCCCUAUGGGUUGUAAACUUCUUUUAUAAAGGAAUAAAGUCGGGUAUGGAUACCCGUUUGCAUGUACUUUAUGAAUAAGGAUCGGCUAACUCCGUGCCAGCGGCCGCGGUAAUACGGAGGAUCCGAGCGUUAUCCGGAUUUAUUGGGUUUAAAGGGAGCGUAGAUGGAUGUUUAAGUCAGUUGUGAAAGUUUGCGGCUCAACCGUAAAAUUGCAGUUGAUACUGGAUAUCUUGAGUGCAGUUGAGGCAGGCGGAAUUCGUGGUGUAGCGGUGAAAUGCUUAGAUAUCACGAAGAACUCCGAUUGCGAAGGCAGCCUGCUAAGCUGCAACU
rnacentral:rRNA from 1 species